UCCCUGGUGGCUCAGAGGGUAAAGCGCCUGCCUGUAAUGCAGGAAACCCAGGUUCGAUUCCUGGGCUGGGAA